GUGCCAACUCUGGCAUCAUAUAUACUAAAGUCCAAAUGAUCCAGAGAAGAUUUGCAUGGUCUCUGUACAAAAGAUGACACACAGAUGACUGGAGUGUUCCAACUUAUG
ensembl:snRNA U6 U6 spliceosomal RNA